UACAGAGGGGGCAAGCGUUGUUCGGAAUUACUGGGCGUAAAGGGCUCGUAGGCGGCCAACUAAGUCACACGUGAAAUCCCCAGGCUCAACCUGGGAACUGCGUCUGAUACUGGAUGGCUUGAAUCCGGGAGAGGGAUGCAGAAUUCCAGGUGUAGCGGUGAAAUGCGUAGAUAUCUGGAGGAAUACCGGUGGCGAAGGCGACGUCCUGGACCGGCAUUGACGCUGAGGCGCGAAAGCCAGGGGAGCAAACGGGG
rnacentral:rRNA from 1 species